GCUAGACCAGGUUGCUCAGAACACCAUCCAGCCUGUCUUAAAAAUCUCCAGGGAUAGGAUGAACAGCUCCAAGUUUCCCAGUCUGUCUUCCUAGAAGAGAUGUUCAAGCCCUUUUGAUCCUCUUCAUGCCUUCCUCUGGACUCGCUCCAACAGACCAAACUAAAACAUUGAGAAAACAAUGGCUCCAGGAAGCAGUGUUUCUCAUUUCAACAAAAGAAGCACAGGCCCCAUGGACGUUACACCUCUUUGGACAGCAGACAGAAGAGGAGGAGAUAUGUAUCCAGAGAUGAUGUCUUCCUCAUGGCUUGAACACAUAUAUGAAUAUACAUGCUCCUUUGGCUCCUCUCAAAAUAAUGAAUUUUCACCUUGACCCAUGCUUGCUUUUUCCUGCACAUCCACAAAGCAUUCUGUGGAAACAGAAGGAAAGAGCUAAGCAAUUUUUCUUCAUUUUGGUGUUGCUGUUACAGAUUGAAGGAAUAAGCAACUCAUGGAGUUCUGCGUCAAAAAAAUGUUCCGCUGUCAGUUCCAAGAAUAUCUGCAACUGAUUGAUCACAACCAGCAUUUGCUUGACAUACUUAAUAUUGAACAGUAUAUACCUAAAAAAAUUUUUUAUAAAACUGAGUUUCAAAUUUAAAAGGUAAAGAAGAAAACCGACAAGGUAUAUCUAGAAGAAUAACAAAUACUGAAAACCUGAGAACUUGACACUGGCCACCUAAACUAAGCGAAGGACUGUGCUCUUCAUGAUUCUCCACGAUGGGCUUGGCAAGGACUGUGUGUGCAAUGGAGCUCAGCCCUAAGCAUGGAAAGUUCCAGUCCUGAAUUAAUUGAUGUGGUAAGUUUCAAGCUAGUGACAUUUUGAGAGGCACAAGGAGAGGAUCAGAGUAAAAGCUGAAAUUCAGUGUCUCUUCCGGUAGAGCAUACUGUCUAUUUGCAUUACAAAAUAGGCUUCUUACAAGUACAUUCUUCU